rnacentral:rRNA from 1 species
UUGGAGGGCAAGUCUGGUGCCAGCAGCCGCGGUAAUUCCAGCUCCAAUAGCGUAUAUUAAAGUUGUUGCAGUUAAAAAGCUCGUAGUUGAAUUUCGGGGUCAGUAGGUUGGUCAUGCCACUGGUAUGUACUGGUCUCACUGAUUCCUCCUUCCUGAUGAGCCGUAAUGCCAUUAAUUUGGUGUUGCGAGGAAUCUGGACUGUUACUUUGAAAAAAUUAGAGUGUUUAAAGCAAGCUAACGCUUGAAUACAUUAGCAUGGAAUAAUGAAAUAGGACGUUCGAUCCUAUUUUGUUGGUUUCUAGGAUUGACGUAAUGAUUAAUAGGGAUAGUUGGGGGCAUUAGUAUUCAAUUGUCAGAGGUGAAAUUCUUGGAUUUAUUGAAGACUAACUACUGCGAAAGCAUUUGCCAAGGAUGUUUUCAUUAAUCAAGAACGAAAGUUAGGGGAUCGAAGACGAUCAGAUACCGUCGUAGUCUUAACCAUAAACUAUGCCGACUAGGGAUCGGACGAUGUUAAUUUUUUAAUGACUCAUUCGGCGCCUACAGAAAC